AGUGAACGCUGGCGGCAGGUCUAACACAUGCAAGUCGAGCGGUUGAAGGGAGCUUGCUCCCGGGCUAAGCGGCGGACGGGUGAGUAAUGCAUAGGAAUCUGCCUUGUAGUGGGGGAUAACGUCCGGAAACGGGCGGUAAUACCGCAUACGUCCGGAGGGAGAAGGUGGGGGAUGUUAGGACCACAGGGUUGCAGAAGGCAUUAGGUCGGAUUAGCUAGUGGGUGGGGUAAAGGCCUACCAAGGCGACGAUCCGUAACUGGUCGGAGAGGAUGAUCAGCCACACUGGAACUAAGACACGGUCCAGACUCCUACGGGAGGCAGCAGUGGGGAAUAUUGGACAAUGGGCGAAAGCCUGAUCCAGCCAUGCCGCGUGUGUGAAGAAGGUCUUCGGAUUGUCAAGCUCUUUAAGUUGGGAGGAAGGGCAGUAAGUUAAUACCUUGCUGUUUUGACGUUACCAACAGAAUAAGCACCGGCUAACUUCGUG
rnacentral:rRNA from 1 species